CAUUGCUUCUUGCCUCAACUAUAAGAAGUAAUUCCUGCCCAGUGACUCACGUUCAACGGCCGCGGUAUCCUAACCGUGCAAAGGUAGCAUAAUCACUUGCCCAUCAAUUGUGGGCUAGAAUGAAAGGAUCAACGAAAUAAAGACUGUCUCUAUAAGCCCUAUAAAAAUUAAUCUCUAACUGAAGAGUGUUAGAUUCUAUCGAAGGACAAGAAGACCCUAUAGAGCUUUAUUUUAAUAAAAAAUUUAAAUCUUUAUUGAAAUUCGGUUGGGGCGACCAGGGAAAUCAUUAAUCAUCCCUCUAUAAAAGAUUAAUAAAUCAUAUUUCUGACCCUUAACAAAGAUCACCAGAUAAGCUACCUUAGGGAUAACAGGCUAAUCUCACUAAAGAGUCCUUAUCAAUAGUGAGGGUUGGCACCUCGAUGUUGGCUUAGGGAAUCUAUACGACGCAAAAGUCAUAUAAAGAUGGUUUGUUCAACCAAUAAUACCCUACAUGAUCU
rnacentral:rRNA from 1 species